rnacentral:misc_RNA from 1 species
UAACACAAUAAUGGAUAAGAUUAGAAAUGACUACAUUCGGCAGACAAUGCAUAUAGCACAUAUUGAAAAUAAAAUGAGAGAUGAUCAAUUAAUAUGAUUUGGUCAUGUCCAAUGUAGAGAAUCAAAGCUCCAGUAUGGAAGUGCGAUAAGCUAGUAGGGAAAGGAGAGACUUAAAAUAACGUGGAGGAAAGUAAUAUCUAACGAUUUACAAGCUUUGGGUAGUGGUGCAGAUUUGGUGUCCAAUAGAAUUGAAUGGCAAAAAAAGAUUCAUAUAAUUGACUCCAACUAGUUUAAGAAUAAGGCUUAGCUGCUAUUGUUGAUGUUGAAAUAUAUAUGACAAUUAUUGCACUAACAAUUUUACUUUAGUAAUAUCAAUUGUUGGCACCCAGAAGUAUAUUCCAACAAAAGUUGAAAACACUUGGUCAUUAACGACAGUAAAUACUAGUCAGAUGCCCUCAACCGUGUAGUUUAAAACUUUGACAUGCAAAAGAACAGUGAAAACUCUCCUCAUAAGAAUAAAACCCAACAAGGGGCAAAUACUACAACAUCCAUAACCAGAGAUCAAACAUUUCCCAUCAAAAGUGAAAUUUAUCAUUACUUAAAAUAAGUUCCAAUAACCCACGGAUGAAAAUAGGUAAUCUU